rnacentral:pre_miRNA from 1 species
GGAAUCCCCUCCCAUGCUUCCUUGAACUCAAACUUUAAUCAUCCAUUUUAUUUAAAUUUUUUAUAAUCAAUAUUUUUAUUGUUAUUAGAUGAUAACACAUGAAUAGUAUUUCAUGCAUGACUAUUUUUUCUAAUUUAUUUAUAAAUUUUCUAAAUAAGAUGAACAGUCAAAGUUGGGCAGAGAAAUCCA